rnacentral:lncRNA from 1 species
GCAUCCAUAAAAUAUGAACGAAAACAAAAAGGUAAAAAGGCUUUCCCUCAGUGCCUCAGAAAUGAGUCAUUAGCAGUGUGGCAGCCACAGGUCCCUAACCCAUCCCGCUUCUCCUCGGCCUGCAAGCACACCCUGUCCCAAACAGCCCCCACCAAGUCCACAUGGCUUCUGCUGAUAGGGCUCCAGAGCACUGUGGCAUGCUAAAUUUGUAUGGAGAAAGAGAAAUUUGAAACAUGAAGUAUAGCUAAGCUCAAGGUUAUGAUAAACUGUAAAGGUCAUUUGAUGCUCUUCUCAGUCUAGUCUCGAACUGUAGCACUCUCUUUGGCUAUAUUAGUUGUAUUUGGUGGCAGUUAGAGAGAGCUGCCAGCAACCCAAGGGAUGCCUGUGAUGCCACCAGCACUGGGGUUGUGCUGCUAUGAUGAGCACUCUACAGAAUAAGACUCUGCCUUAAAAACUAAGCAAAACUGGCCUGGGUGGGCUAAGCCCACCAGAGACGACCCCACCUAGCAUCACACUGAAGAUACCCAGAGGCCCUUGUGCCACUAAGGUCGUGUUCCUUUCAACUUGCACUAGGCUUGCAACAGCAAUG